rnacentral:rRNA from 3 species
UUAAAUUGAAGAGUUUGAUCAUGGCUCAGAUUGAACGCUGGCGGCAGGCCUAACACAUGCAAGUCGAACGGUAACAGGAAGCAGCUUGCUGCUUCGCUGACGAGUGGCGGACGGGUGAGUAAUGUCUGGGAAACUGCCUGAUGGAGGGGGAUAACUACUGGAAACGGUGGCUAAUACCGCAUAACGUCGCAAGACCAAAGAGGGGGACCUUCGGGCCUCUUGCCAUCAGAUGUGCCCAGAUGGGAUUAGCUUGUUGGUGAGGUAACGGCUCACCAAGGCGACGAUCCCUAGCUGGUCUGAGAGGAUGACCAGCCACACUGGAACUGAGACACGGUCCAGACUCCUACGGGAGGCAGCAGUGGGGAAUAUUGCACAAUGGGCGCAAGCCUGAUGCAGCCAUGCCGCGUGUAUGAAGAAGGCCUUCGGGUUGUAAAGUACUUUCAGCGGGGAGGAAGGUGUUGUGGUUAAUAACCGCAGCAAUUGACGUUACCCGCAGAAGAAGCACCGGCUAACUCCGUGCCAGCAGCCGCGGUAAUACGGAGGGUGCAAGCGUUAAUCGGAAUUACUGGGCGUAAAGCGCACGCAGGCGGUCUGUCAAGUCGGAUGUGAAAUCCCCGGGCUCAACCUGGGAACUGCAUUCGAAACUGGCAGGCUUGAGUCUUGUAGAGGGGGGUAGAAUUCCAGGUGUAGCGGUGAAAUGCGUAGAGAUCUGGAGGAAUACCGGUGGCGAAGGCGGCCCCCUGGACAAAGACUGACGCUCAGGUGCGAAAGCGUGGGGAGCAAACAGGAUUAGAUACCCUGGUAGUCCACGCCGUAAACGAUGUCUACUUGGAGGUUGUGCCCUUGAGGCGUGGCUUCCGGAGCUAACGCGUUAAGUAGACCGCCUGGGGAGUACGGCCGCAAGGUUAAAACUCAAAUGAAUUGACGGGGGCCCGCACAAGCGGUGGAGCAUGUGGUUUAAUUCGAUGCAACGCGAAGAACCUUACCUGGUCUUGACAUCCACGGAAGUUUUCAGAGAUGAGAAUGUGCCUUCGGGAACCGUGAGACAGGUGCUGCAUGGCUGUCGUCAGCUCGUGUUGUGAAAUGUUGGGUUAAGUCCCGCAACGAGCGCAACCCUUAUCCUUUGUUGCCAGCGGUCCGGCCGGGAACUCAAAGGAGACUGCCAGUGAUAAACUGGAGGAAGGUGGGGAUGACGUCAAGUCAUCAUGGCCCUUACGACCAGGGCUACACACGUGCUACAAUGGCGCAUACAAAGAGAAGCGACCUCGCGAGAGCAAGCGGACCUCAUAAAGUGCGUCGUAGUCCGGAUUGGAGUCUGCAACUCGACUCCAUGAAGUCGGAAUCGCUAGUAAUCGUGGAUCAGAAUGCCACGGUGAAUACGUUCCCGGGCCUUGUACACACCGCCCGUCACACCAUGGGAGUGGGUUGCAAAAGAAGUAGGUAGCUUAACCUUCGGGAGGGCGCUUACCACUUUGUGAUUCAUGACUGGGGUGAAGUCGUAACAAGGUAACCGUAGGGGAACCUGCGGUUGGAUCACCUCCUUACCUUAAAGAAGC